AGUCACGUGGUCUAAUGGUUAUGAUUUCUCGUUCACAUCGAAUUCCCCUUCGAGGCGCCGAGAAGGUUCCCGGUUCGAUCCCGGGCGUGACUA